rnacentral:rRNA from 1 species
UACAGAGGGUGCAAGCGUUAAUCGGAUUUACUGGGCGUAAAGCGCGCGUAGGUGGCCAAUUAAGUCAAAUGUGAAAUCCCCGAGCUUAACUUGGGAAUUGCAUUCGAUACUGGUUGGCUAGAGUAUGGGAGAGGAUGGUAGAAUUCCAGGUGUCGCGGUGAAAUGCGUAGAGAUCUGGAGGAAUACCGAUGGCGAAGGCAGCCAUCUGGCCUAAUACUGACACUGAGGUGCGAAAGCAUGGGGAGCAAACAGG